GUCGAGCGGAUGAAGAGAGCUUGCUCUCUGAUUCAGCGGCGGACGGGUGAGUAAUGCCUAGGAAUCUGCCUGAUAGUGGGGGACAACGUUUCGAAAGGAGCGCUAAUACCGCAUACGUCCUACGGGAGAAAGCAGGGGACCUUCGGGCCUUGCGCUAUCAGAUGAGCCUAGGUCGGAUUAGCUAGUUGGUGAGGUAAUGGCUCACCAAGGCGACGAUCCGUAACUGGUCUGAGAGGAUGAUCAGUCACACUGGAACUGAGACACGGUCCAGACUCCUACGGGAGGCAGCAGUGGGGAAUAUUGGACAAUGGGCGAAAGCCUGAUCCAGCCAUGCCGCGUGUGUGAAGAAGGUCUUCGGAUUGUAAAGCACUUUAAGUUGGGAGGAAGGGCAUUAACCUAAUACGUUAGUGUUUUGACGUUACCGACAGAAUAAGCACCGGCUAACUUCGUGCCAGCAGCCGCGGUAAUACGAAGGGUGCAAGCGUUAAUCGGAAUUACUGGGCGUAAAGCGCGCGUAGGUGGUUUGUUAAGUUGAAUGUGAAAGCCCCGGGCUCAACCUGGGAACUGCAUCCAAAACUGGCAAGCUAGAGUAUGGCAGAGGGUGGUGGAAUUUCCUGUGUAGCGGUGAAAUGCGUAGAUAUAGGAAGGAACACCAGUGGCGAAGGCGACCACCUGGGCUAAUACUGACACUGAGGUGCGAAAGCGUGGGGAGCAAACAGGAUUAGAUACCCUGGUAGUCCACGCCGUAAACGAUGUCGACUAGCCGUUGGGAUCCUUGAGAUCUUAGUGGCGCAGCUAACGCAUUAAGUCGACCGCCUGGGGAGUACGGCCGCAAGGUUAAAACUCAAAUGAAUUGACGGGGGCCCGCACAAGCGGUGGAGCAUGUGGUUUAAUUCGAGCACGCGAAGAACCUUACCAGGCCUUGACAUGCAGAGACUUUCCAGAGAUGGAUUGUGC
rnacentral:rRNA from 1 species